rnacentral:tRNA from 1 species
GCCUCGAUAGCUCAAUUGGUAGAGCACGUGACUCUUAAUCACUAGGUUGCAGGUUCGAUUCCUGCUCGGGGCA